ensembl:misc_RNA Metazoa_SRP Metazoan signal recognition particle RNA
GCCGGACACGAUGGCAAGUGCCUGUAGUCCCAGCUUCUUGGGAGGCUGAGGCUGCAGGAUCACUUGAGUCCAGGAGUUCUGGGCUGUAGGACACUAUGCUGAUUGGGUGACCAAACUAGGUUCAGCAUCAAUAUGGUGACCUCCCAGGAGCAGGGGACCACUAGGUUACCUAAGGAGGGGUGAACUGGCCCAGGUUGGAAACUGAGCAAGUCAAAACUCUGGUACUGAUCAGUUGUGGGAUCUCGACUGUGAAUAGCCACUGCACUCCAGCCUGGGCAAUAUAGCAAGACUCUGCCUCUU